GAUGAACGCUGGCGGCGUGCCUAAUACAUGCAAGUCGAGCGAACAGACGAGGAGCUUGCUCCUCUGACGUUAGCGGCGGACGGGUGAGUAACACAUGGAUAACCUACCUAUAAGACUGGGAUAACUUCGGGAACCGGAGCUAAUACCGGAUAAUAUAUUGAACCGCAUGGUUCAAUAGUGAAAGACGGUUUUGCUGUCACUUAUAGAUGGAUCCGCGCCGCAUUAGCUAGUUGGUAAGGUAACGGCUUACCAAGGCAACGAUGCGUAGCCGACCUGAGAGGGUGAUCGGCCACACUGGAACUGAGACACGGUCCAGACUCCUACGGGAGGCAGCAGUAGGGAAUCUUCCGCAAUGGGCGAAAGCCUGACGGAGCAACGCCGCGUGAGUGAUGAAGGUCUUCGGAUCGUAAAACUCUGUUAUUAGGGAAGAACAAAUGUGUAAGUAACUAUGCACGUCUUGACGGUACCUAAUCAGAAAGCCACGGCUAACUACGUG
rnacentral:rRNA from 1 species